rnacentral:rRNA from 1 species
GGAUUUCUUUCCCAACAAAAGGGCUUACAACCCGAAGGCCUUKUUCACCCACGCGGUAUGGCUGGAUCAGGCUUGCGCCCAUUGUCCAAUAUUCCCCACUGCUGCCUCCCGUAGGAGUCUGGACCGUGUCUCAGUUCCAGUGUGGCUGAUCAUCCUCUCAGACCAGCUACGGAUCGUCGCCUUGGUGGGCCUUUACCCCGCCAACUAGCUAAUCCGACAUCGGCUCAUUCAAUCGCGCAGGGUCCGAAGAUCCCCUGCUUUCACCCGUAGGUCGUAUGCGGUAUUAGCGUAAGUUUCCCUACGUUAUCCCCCACGACAGAGUAGAUUCCGAUGUAUUCCUCACCCGUCCGCCACUCGCCACCCAAGGAGCAAGCUCCUCUGUGCUGCCAUUCGACUUGCAUGUGUUAGGCCUACCGCCAGCGUUCACUCUGAGCCAUAAUCAAACUCU